ACGGCCACUAUGUUUUGUGAGUUUUUCAGUUCUACUGUCAUUUAAUUUUCGAAUAUAUUCAGAAUGAACAGAGAGAGAAAGAGGAAGAAUUAAUUCUAUUUCUUAACCGAAAUUAAUGUACAUUGUGGAUGUAUCUAACUUAAAAGGUAUUCUGCAUAAGCUCCGUAUAUUUUCUUGCAGUGAGUACGUUACUCACCUUGUAAAGUAUAGAAUUAUACACAUGACCUCUUGCAUUGCACGCAGCUCUCGGGCAGAAAUAAAAAAGGCUGAAUCAGUUUAUAAGGAGGAAAAGAAAGAAAUUAGAAGAUAUGAGAAAGCAUACUCAUGAAACGCUCCCUAGAUAUCACAAUAAUCUAUAGGAUCGGCUACGAAGAAUUUGUAAUGACAAGUUUCAAGGAAUUGUUUGUGACCGUACUGGACAGCAUUGAAUGAGUACUGAGAUCAUGGAAAUGGUUGAGCACUUCGAUUUGAUUUUGAAGCGGAAUUUUGAUUUCUCAUCUCGUCUCCCAUACUCGUCAUCAAUGGACACAAUACCAAAUACGUAUCUCGCAGUGUCAUUGAUCGGAGUUUUUCGUCAGUUCUCAUUAUCACUUGUUGGUAGAAAAUUGUUUAAAUUUGUAUCUCACAUGAAGUCUAGUCCACCCAGCGUGCAUGAUCAGUUUAAUAUGUUUUUACAUUAACAACCAAAGAUGAACGACUUGUUAUAUAAAUUAUUAUACCAGUAAGUAUCUCAUGCAACCUCAAGUUUGUAAUAACCAGACUUUAUUGCUGUUAUUGUUUAGCCUAUGCUCGGCCUUGAACCAGUAAAUCUAUCAUUAAAAGUGAUGCAGCUGUAAAUAUACCGCUUUUUUCCCCUCCUAACACUUUAUCUAAUGUGGACUUGUUUUAAUACAAUAGCAUAAUAUAUGAGGAAUAUUUUACUGCUAUUUCUAGUGGGGCGAUUGACUCCUUCGGUGGCUCACAAUCUAUUAUGAUUGUAAGCGUCGAGUUUAAAACUUGUUUCCUUCGCAGGAGCAACAACGUCUUACAAACCAAAUAUGUUACAUAAAGUAACAAAACAAAAUAUAUCAUAAAAAUACUAAUGAUUUAUCAUCGUUCAGUGUUUGCUUAAACCUAACGAUAUAGUCAACUGCACAGACAAACAGUCACACAGAUAUAUGUAAACACUGGAAUAUACGUUAACGAUCUAUAAAUUCAUGUUAUGGGAGUACAUAUAUAUAGAGAGAGAUCGGAUGCAUACAUACACUUACAUAAAUAUAUAUGAAAGUGCAUAUAUAUACGUAUAUACAUAUAUGUACAUAUAAACAUAUAUGUACAUACACAUAUAUAUAUAAACAUAUGUGUGUAUGCUUCAUCUUUAGGACUAGAAAAUACUCGUGCCCUGAUUAUUUGUUGACUUUCUACAAAUCUCAAGUGUAAGCCACUUAUCUCAGAAAUUUCUAUGCUACUCACGUAAAUAGUAAAUAGCGUAGACACGUCGAAAAGAAACUUAUUCAGCUGAUUGCUAAAUAUUCACACAAACCUACUGCAACCUCUGCUUCAAAGAACCAUUUUUUUUUUGUAUUUCUUACAGCUUCUAUAACUAUUUCUCUUACUUAUACCACAAAACUUCGUAUUGAUAUCAUCUAAGUCAACGCAACACGUGUGUCACUUCUCGCAUUCUGUCUGUCUGUCUCUCCUCCUCUCUCUCUUUCUUUCUCACACCUAAGCACUGCACUAGACCCCUUUCGAAUCACACUCACCAACUAGAACUGGCGAAAGCUGGAAUUCAUUUCACUCACUAUAUUUUCCCAGACAGGAGUAAAUAAGCAUUAGUUGAGGAAAAGCGCCAAGAAUUUCCCCAUUAUUAAAGAAUUUGGAAAGGGCAUGGAAACUGCUCCAUCAUCUGAUUAAAUAAUUUUUUAAGAAGGAGGUGGCAACCGCCUGAGUACAACUAAAAAUUGCAAUGAGUAAUUUUUCUACAACACACACACACACGCACACUUAUGUAUGUAUAUAUGUAUCUAUCUAUCCAUUUAUCUAUAUGUGUGUAUAUAUAUGUGUAAAAUCAAGCAGAAGGAAACAUUCAUAUAGUUGGAGUUGUAAGAAUUCAACAAGUUGACUCAGACCAACAUUUCUCAAAGUUUCCUAAGCGCAUAUAUGCGUAUUCGUCAGACGCCCGAGACCAAUAUCGGAAAUAUUUCCCCUUCAGGGGAAAAUAUUUGGUGAGGUUUCUUCCGAUUAUAUGAACAAAUUGAUAAUACAGCGACAUCGGAUAAUUAUAUAUAUAUAUAUAUAUAUAUAUAUAUAUAUAUAUAGAUCAAUAAAUGGUGGGGUUGUGUUGACCGCACGUGGAGAAAUGAUAAGUAAGGAAAAACUUUUUAAAAAAAUGCAGAAUGCUCAAAUGAAAGAAAAUUUUAAUAAAAUGAUAAAAUGAUAAAAUAUAUAAAUGUAUAUUUAUUCAACCGGUUUUCGUCAUUGUAUGACUUGUCAAGAAUAUUUAUGUUUUAAGAAGUUUUUUUAAAAAUUAGAAAGGGGAAAAAAAGAAAAUUGCAUUGUUUUUUGUAAAAGAAUAAUGAUAAAAAUGUACAAAAAUUAAAAAAUAAGUUCUCCGAUACAUUGUGAGUUCGUUGUGUAUCUUGCGUUUUAUGGUUGUUUACGAAAAAAUUACCUUGAGGUGUUAAGAUCCAAAGGGAUUAAGAGCAUGUGUUGUGUUGUGUUGUUAAAUUCAGCAUGUUUGCAGGACAGGAAGUAGUAGUAAUUGUGGUCCUGGUUCUUCAGUUCCUGUGUUGUGAGUAAGGGGAGACAACUCUUUUGAGUUCUUCAAUAAAACCCAAAUUAUAAAACUAUCAUUUUAGCUUCAUUUGCAUUAUCUUUUUUAUAUAAUUGCUUGUUAACUUAACUUUCAGAUUUUAACACUUUAUUUACAUUAUUUUCUAAUAAUAUAAAUCUGCAUAGACAUGAAAAACAUUAUAAAUACACACAAAAUCCUCAAAUGCAAAAGGCAACACAAAUCUUAAAAAAAACUCUUGACAAAUGCCAAACUUCACACACCACAUCCACCCCCAACAGUAAAAAAAUGUGCACGCUCAAACUGUGGUACCUGCCCCUUUCUACUUGAAGGCUCUGAAUUUACCUUCAAACAAGGUACGAAGUUUAAAAUCAAGACUAACUUCUCCUGUUCCUCCGAGAACCUUAUCUACGUUCUCACAUGCGCUGGUUGCCAACAUAAUUAUGUUGGACAAACGAGUCUCCCGUUACGUAAACGAGUAACGGUGCAUAAAGAACAAAUAAAUCUCCCGGAAUACCGACAAAUUCCACUGAGUGACCACUUAGACUCAUGUGCUAAAGACUUAAACCCCAAAUUCUAUAUAUUCCCCUUCUACCAAUGUAAAGACGGGAUCACCACACAGGAGAGAAUUAACAAGGAGAAUCUCUUUAUUGAAAAAUUCCAAACACAACUUAAUAUGCAAACUCCUCGUUGAUCAAACUUCCUUUCUCUACCUCACUUUUCAUGGAUGGACUAACACAAAUAUAUAAAGAUACCAUGCAUUCAUCACUUCAAGCUAAAACUUAUAUUCUUUAAAUAUCAUUUUUACUAUUGUUGUUAUUACUAUCAUUUUUAUUAUAAAUGAUAUGACAAUUUGAAAUGCAAUUGUCUAUGCAGAUUUAUAUUAUUAGAAAAUAAUGUAAAUAAAGUGUUAAAAUCUGAAAGUUAAGUUAACAAGCAAUUAUAUAAAAAAGAUAAUGCAAAUGAAGCUAAAAUGAUAGUUUUAUAAUUUGGGUUUUAUUGAAGAACUCAAAAGAGUUGUCUCCCCUUACUCACAACACAGGAACUGAAGAACCAGGACCACAAUUACUACUACUUCCUGUCCUGCAAACAUGCUGAAUUUAACAACACAACACAACACAUGCUCUUAAUCCCUUUGGAUCUUAACACCUCAAGGUAAUUUUUUCGUAAACAACCAUAAAACGCAAGAUACACAACGAACUCACAAUGUAUCGGAGAACUUAUUUUUUAAUUUUUGUACAUUUUUAUCAUUAUUCUUUUACAAAAAACAAUGCAAUUUUCUUUUUUUCCCCUUUCUAAUUUUUAAAAAAACUUCUUAAAACAUAAAUAUUCUUGACAAGUCAUACAAUGACGAAAACCGGUUGAAUAAAUAUACAUUUAUAUAUUUUAUCAUUUUCUCAUUUUAUUAAAAUUUUCUUUCAUUUGAGCAUUCUGCAUUUUUAAAAAAAUUUUUUCCUUACUUAUAUAUAUAUAUAUAUAUAUAUAUAUAUAUAUAUAUAUAUAUAUAUAUAUAUAUAUAUAUAUAUAUAUAUGUCACCACGUAGCAGAGGAAACAGUACAGUUUCGUCAAGUAAUCGGCGGCCUCUUGAGUUUUUGAGCUUAGUGAUCUAUGCGGGAUAUGUUCUAUCAACAACUGUACUUCAGUACAGUAUUUAAGUAUUUUUAUAUAGCAAUUGGACAUUCUUAUUAAACUAAGAGGAACUAUUAGAUGAAAAACAGUUUAAAUUUUCUCAAGCAGUUUAAAGUAUUUAAAAAAUAAGGACACUGACACUACGAUAGUUUAUAAUGACGUCACCUAACAGCGAAGUGUAACUAAUACAGAAUGUCGAUUUUGGUAACAGAAGAGUUGACAAAGCAGAAUAUCAAUAUUGAUAUGCAAAUUCAGUGAUGACAUCGAUAUCAGUGAAUAAAAUAAGUGUAAGUUAUUUUAAGGCAGGAAAUAUUGAAUAUGUAAAAUACAUUUGAAAAUUACGAGUAUUAAACAUAAACCGUAACCACCUCUAAAUCUAACGUACAAAGUGUCUAGCUCUUAAACAAAUGAGAAAGAUCGUGAAGUAAAGGUAGGUAUUAAAAAAAGAAAGAAAAAGGAUUUCGACUGAUUUGUUAAUCAGAACAAAACUGAAAACACUCUUUAAAUAUACAAUUUUAGCUUUCAGGUCCACGACAUUGCGUGAAUGGGAAUAAAUGGGGGGAAAAAUAAAGCACAAAAAACCCCCACAAAAACAAAGAAAAAACACCAACAAAAAUCAAUAACAAAAGAGAAAGAAAAUUGUUUAAAUCUGAAAGACGAUACUUGUUACAAAGUGCUAUGUUCGUUGAAUAGCAUUCGUGUUGAGUGUCAGACAAGUCAAGUGUUACUUAAAGUUUUAUUCUACAUCCUUCCAAACAUGCACACAUACAUACACGUGUGUGUGUAUCUCUCUCUCACACAUACAAUCACACACACAUAAAUGUGUAUGUAUAAAUAUAUAUAUGUAUAUAUAUAUAUAUAUAUAUAUAUAUAUAUAUAUAUAUAUAUAUAUAUAUAUAUAUAUAUAUAUAUAUAUGUGUGUGUGUAUAUAUAUAUAUAUAUAUAUAUAUAUAUAUAAACGCAUGCACACACACGCAUGUAUACAUGUAUGUAUGCAUGCAUGUAUGUAUAUAUAUAUAUCAGGCAUUAUAUACUUCACGAUAUUGUAUAUUUUACACGUUGUACACCUCCAUUGACUAUUACACAUACAUCAAAUACGUCAAAUUUUGUGAUAUAUACGUGAGUGUGUGAGUAUGUGUGUAUAUACACAUACGAAUAUGAAGUGUUACCAUUUGUUGAACAUGUUAAAGGAUUGAGAUGACAGUAUACUUUCAGGUACUCUGUAUAUCCGUCUGUCUGCCUGUCCGUCUAUUUAUCAAUCAAUCUAUAUUUAUCUGUGUGUUUAUAUUAUUUUGUUAUUGGUAUAUAGAUUCUCACAAGAGUUUGUGUUUUACUUAUACACAUUCAUACACACACACACACAUACACAUGCUUACGUACGGACAUGCAGAUGCACAUACGCACACACGCUACAUAUAUGAGUAUGUCUGUGUUUGUUGUGCUGUGUGCGCAUGCGUAUGCAUACCUAUUCGAAGAAUACUGAAUAAUAGAGAUUUAUUUUUUUGAAGCUAAGGCUGCAGCCCAUUGUUGCUCUCAGAUAGAGUAUUCCAAGUAACUGCAGAUGAAACUUAUUCGAUGACAGUUUCAGAAGUUUUCAUACUUAAAACAUGCAUAUAUUCAUCCAUAUAUUUAUAUUCACAAGACGAAUUAAUAAACGCACACGCACACACACAUACACACACUCGCACACGUACACUCACACACACACACACACACACACACACACACACACACACACACACACACACACACACACACACACACACACACACAUAUAUAUAUAAAUCAGAGCUUCACUUAACAGUUCAUCAGGCAAUUGUGAUCAUAUCAUAGUCCUCUUAUGAACGAUUACGUGAAACUCUGAGAAACAUUUCAUUCUAACUUUGGUUGUCGAGUACUAUUUUCCCACCUUGCUUUGCACCUAGGUACUUACUAGUGUGUGUGUGUGAAUGUGAGUUUGUGUACGUAUGUAUAUGUAUGUGUGCAUGUAUAUAUAUAUAUAUACAUAUAUAUGUAUGUAUGUGUGUGUGCACAUAUAUAUAUACAUACACGCAUACAUAUAUACACACACACAUGCAUAUACGUAGUCUGAUCAAUAAGUAUCCGGACUGUUGUCAUAACGAAGCUAAAGCACGCAGAGUAAAGCCGCUUGGUAAAUAUUGACCUUGAUCUCUGUUGUGCUUGCACAUUUAGUUUUAACGUUCUAGCCCACUUUCACUGUUUACAGCAGUGCUGUAGUGAGGGAUCAUCGCAUUGACUAUGACAGAGAAGGUUGAGCAGAGAGAUCUGCAUCACAUUUUGCCAAAAACCUAGCGAUACCUGCUCAGAGGCCUCGACACAAUCAAGAAAAUCUUGUGCAGCUGAAUUCCGAGUGACUCUUUGGUCAGUUAAAAGCAGUUUUGGCACAAAGUUGGCAGAUACGCGUCUGACAUCGAAAUCUUCAGUGAUAAUGAACUGAACUAGUCUGCACAUCCUCUGAAUCGACGAUUUCCCCUCACAGCUGCACGCACAUGCGAUGUUUUUUCAGUUCUGCUGGUCAUUCGUCAUUAUCGAUAUUUUUUCGACCAUUUUGGAAAUGUCUGAACCUCUUGUACACUUGUGUGUGGCUCAUACACUCCUCUCCAUACACUUGCGUAGGCCUCUAAGCAGGUAUCGCCAUGACAACUUUCUCUGUCAUGGUCAAUGCGACGAUCACACGCGACACAUCUUCCUUCCAAGCAGUGCUGUAAACAGUGUAAGUGAGCUAGAACGUUAAAACUUAGUGCGCAUGCACAGCAAGGUUCAAGGUCAAUCUUUGCCAAAUGAUUUCGCUCCGCUUGCUUUAGCUUCGUUACUAUGGCACUAUGGCAACAUAUUGAUGUGAAUAUUGAUGUGAACGUCAUGUUUAUUAUUUCCGAAGACAUAUAAUUUAGAAUUUAAUUACACUUGAUGCCUCUUCAUUCUUAUCUACAGAAGGAAUAAUUUAAGAUUUUACAAAUAUACAUUAGCUAUGCAAACAUAUAUACAAAAAUAUGUACAUAUUUGUAAUGUGUUUGCUUGUCAGGACGUGUUUGCGUUAGUAUGUGUGAGCAUUGUAAAUUCCGUAGUGUGUGCUUUUUGAAAAGUGUACCGUAAAUCUUCAAAUAUUUGAAUAUACUGAAUCUAAGCAAGGAUGUUUUUUGUCUAAUGCAUACACAAUACAAAGAUACAUGUAUAUUGGUUUCAAAUAUUGGCACAAGGCCAGCAAUUUCGGCGGAGAGAGAGAUAUGAAUAUUGGAAGACAGUCUUUAUUCUCUUAUUCUUUUAUUUGUUUCGGUCAUUUGACUGCAGCUAUGCUGGAGCACCACCUUUAGUAGAGCAAAUCGACCUAAGGACUUAUUCUUUGUAAGCUUAGUACUUAUUCUAUCGGUCUCUUUUGCCAGACCGCUAAGUUACGGAGACGAAAACACACCAGCAUCGGUUGUCAAGCGAUGCUGGGGGGACAAACAAUGUCACACAAACAUACAUACAUACAUACAUACAUACAUACAUACAUACAUACAUACAUGCAUGCAUACAUACAUAUAUAUAUAUAUAUAUAUAUAUAUAUAUAUAUAUAUAUAUAUAUAUAAGGGGCUUUUUUCAGUUUCCGUCUACCAAAUCCACUCAGAAGGCUCUAGUUGGCCCGAGACCAUAGUAGAGAACACUUGGACAAAGUACCACGCAGUGGGACUGAACCGGGAACCAUGUGGCUGGUAAGCAAGCUACUUACCACACAGCCACUCCUACGCCUAUUAUAUACCAUAAUACGUUUCUAUCAACAUUUUGUGCAACAACGAAAGAAGUAUCUCAAAGUUAGAAAUAAAUAGUUGGUAGUUAUGGCAAUGGUGUUAGUGGAAGCGUCGGAAGAGAUGUGGGUGUUGUGAAAGGUAAAUAGAGAAAGAUAAAGAUAGAAAGAUUGAGAGAAAAAGAGAGACUAGAAAUAGUGGGCCAAUGGAGAUAUAGAGGCAAUAGUAAAACAGUCUUUUUUCUCACUUCUCUCUAUUUCACUCUUUCAAAGAAAAACAGGCCUUGCAUAUAUACCUGACAGAACUGGACUAUAAGCACAAGAGAAAAGAUAAAAUCAAAUUGUACCAGAUUAUCUUCCAAAAUGCAGUGCAUCAAGUACUGAUUAACAACCACAAAAUAUCAGACAGAAGUCUGCUACACUCAGAAUCUACAUUGUAAGAAAUUAAAUCAAAAGUAACCAGAAAGAUUGGAAUGGUGCGGUAACUGUUUAGAUUUUGUAUCACAGUUUAAAUCCAAAACAGAUGACUGCUUAGGGAUAUCUAUAUAUAAAAGACAAACUCGUAGCAUGCAUGCAUGUUAAUACCUAUACAUAUAUACAUACAUAUGUAUAUAUAUAUAUAUAUAUAUAUAUAUAUAUAUAUAUAUAUAUAUAUAUAUAUAAUACACACCCACCCACACAUUUACAUAUAUGUAUAUAUAUAUAUGCAUACAUAUAUAUAUACAUAUAUAUAUAUAUGUGCAUAUAUAUGCAUAUAUACAUGCAUAUAUAUAUAUGUACGCACGCACGCACGCACACACACUCUCUCACACACAAUCAUUCAUUUUCUAAUAUUAAAUUAAAACACUCAAAAUCGCUUGGGAAUAUUUAUGGAAUCUUAAAUCCCAAAGUAUCUUAUCUUUUACUUGUUUCAGUCAUUAGAAUGCGGCCAUGCUGGGGCACCGACUUAAAUUUUUCGCCGAAUAAAUCAUUCCUAGUAGUUGAUUUUUUAAAGCGCUGGGAGGACAAAUACAGACACAAAGACACACAUAGAUACGUAUACGUUUGAUCGCUAGCCACUACACAUUCUUUAUUUUCUAUCAUUAUUUGUUUCUGUGUUCCUUUCUUUGGAAAAGCGUAGGCUCGAAAUGUUAAACUAAUACAUCUGUUUGUUGUCUACACCACCCGUCUUCGUCAUUUUUUUUUGUUGAGAAUUCACCCUAUAUAUAUAUAUAUAUAUAUAUAUAUAUAUAUAUAUAUAUAUAUAUAUAUAUAUAUGUAUAUAUAUACAGGGGUUGGAAAAAUACUGGAAACACCUUAAGAUUUCAAACUAAUUUAUUUUGAUAUGGGUAGGACCGCCUUUGGUAGUAGUUACAGCUUGAAUUCUACGGGGUAUGGACUGGUACAAAGUUUGAAUUGUUUCCAAAGGAGUUUUUGUCCAUUCUUCAGCUAAAACAGCCUCCAGUUCUUAUAGAGAUGAUGAUGGGGGAUAUCGACUCCUCACUUGUUUUUCUAAAAUGCACCAUAAAUGUUCAAUAAUAUUGGGAUCUAAAGACUGUGGUGACCAGAUAAGAUGUCCAUCUUCACUAGAAUGUUUCUCGUGCCAUUCAGUUACGACUUAAGCUGUGUGAAUUGGUGCAUUAUCAUCCUGAAAGAUUGCGUUUCCUUCCAGAAACAGUUCCGCAACCAUAGGAUGAACUCAAUAAGAUAAAAUGCUUAAAUAGUCUUGGCUAUUAAUUCUGCUAUGAGGAAAAACCAUAGGGCCGGCGAAUUUCCAAGAUAUAGCCCCUCCCCCACAGAUGAUCACAGAUCCCCCUCCAUGUUUGAUUGUUUGGAGAAGGCAGUCUGGAUCAAAUGCUUCUUUUCGCUGUCUACACACGUAUCUUCAGCCGGGGUUGGAAAUAUGGUAAAGGAUGACUCGUCCGAGAAAAUAACAUUCUUCCACUGCUCUAGAGACCAAUUCUGUAGGUUUUCACUCCACUCUAAACGCUAUGUAACGUUUGUUUUUGAAAGUAGUGGUUUUCUGAUAGCAGCCCUCCCGUGAAAUCCGGCUUUGUGCAGCUUACGUCGAACAGUUUUUGUGGAAACUGGGUUCUCGAGGUGGUCAUUAAGCUCUGCAGUAAUUUUGGGAGAUGAACAUUUCUGAUCCCUUCUAACAAUUCGCGUAAGAAUCCGACGGUCCCUAUCUGAAAGUUUUGGUUUUCUUCCAGAGUUUUGUUUCGAUGAGGAGGUUUUUCCCUCUUUUUCAAAGGCUGUCAUUACUUUCGAGACAGUACUUCUUGAUACACCAAACAUUUCGGCUGUUUUCGUUGCGCUAGCGCAUGCUAUACGAGCACCAACAAUUUGACCUCUUUGAAAGUCCGAUAGAUCUGUCAUUUUAAUGAAUUUUAAUGACCUUUUUCUUAUGUUAUCUGAAAAGAAACACCAAUUUUAGCAAAACGUAUUAAGCAACACUAAAAAGAAUAAUAAAAAAAUAAAUAAGCUUUUGAUGGUUUGAUAGAUAUUUCAAAAUUAUGAUACUAUGAUGCUAGGUGUUUCCAUUAUUUUCUCCAAUCCUUGUAUAUAUAUAUAUAUAUAUAUAUAUAUAUAUAUAUAUAUAUAUAUAUAUAUAUAUAUAUAUAUAUAUAUAUAUAAACAUAUGUAUGUGUGUAUAUAUAUAUACAUAUAUAUAAAUACAUCAGGAUUCUCUCAGUUUCCGUCUACCUAUUCCACUCACAAGGAUUUGGUUGGCUCAAGACUAUAAUAGAAGACAGUUGCUCAAGGUGUCAUGCAGUGGGACUGAAACCAGAACAUUGUGGUUAGGAAGCAAGCUUCUAACCACACAGUCACAUAGACAUUAAUUUUCUAAUUAUAAAUUAAAAUGCUUUAUCACAUUCGGAAUAUAUAUGGAAUAGAAAUAAUCCAAAGGUAUCAUCAUAUAAAUAUUAAUUUUCCAAUCAAAAUAAAAAAGCCAACAUCUCUUGGGUAAAAUAUAUGGAAUCUUAAAUUCAAAGCUAUCAUCACGCAUAAAGAUUCAUUAUCGAAUCGUAAAUGUAAAUGCGACGGCAGUUUCGGAAUAUAUAUGGAACCUUAAAUCAAAAAUUAUUAUGACAAAGCACUUAUUCCAAAUGAAUUAAAACGCUCAGCAUUAUUUUGGAAACUGAAUUCCACAUGUAUCAUCAUAUAAAGGUUCACUUUAUACUCAUAGAUUAAAACACUUAACAUUGCUUCGGAAUAUACAUGGUAUAUUAAUUCCAUAGGUAUCAUGACAAAGAUAUUCAUUUCCUUAUACUAAAUGAAAAUACACAACAUCACAUUCUGAAUAUAUGUGGGCACUUAGAUUCAAUAUAUUAUCACAAAAUAAUUUAUUCUUUAAUUAUAAGUCAAUGUGUCGGUUGGAAUAUUUUUGGAAUCAUAAAUACAAAAUAUCAUCAUAUAACCAUACAAUUUUUAGAUCCUUAAAAAUCUCAACAUUGCUUUCGAAAUAUAAAUGUAAAUUAAAUCCAAAAAUAUCAGCAUAUAAAGAUUCAUUUUCUAAAUUAAAAUAUCUUACAUUUCUUUCAUAAUAUUAUGAUGUCUUAAAUAAAAAUGUAACACCGCAUACUUAUUAAUUUUAUAAUGAUAAAUUAAAACACUCAACAUCUCUUUCAGAAUGUAAAAACAUCGAACAAGUAUUUCGGAAUAUAUAUGGAGUUUGAAAUUCAAAGGUAUCAUUGCAGGAUAUUCACUUUCUAAUCGUAAAUACAAGACAUUGCAUUCGGGAAUAUAUACGCAAUAUUAAAUGCAAAGUUAUUAUCAAAUAAAUAUUCAACUUCUGAUCAUAAAUGAAAACGCUGAACAUCUUCCUUUUUAGGAUAGAUAGACAUGCAUGUUCAAUGAAUCAUCAGAAAAAAACGCAUUCACAUUCUAAGCAUGAAAUAAAUCACUCAACAUCACUUUUGCAAUACAUAUGGAGUCUGAAAUACAAAUGCAUCACCACAUAGCUAUUCAUUUUGUAAUCAUAAAUUAAAUCACUGUACAUCACUAUGGGACAUAUAUGGAUUCUUAAUUAGAACAGCAUGACAUUCAACAUUAAUUUUCGUCUCAUAAAUUAUAUCAUAGGAAAUCUUUUCUCAGAAUAUGUAUAAAAGUUUAAAUCCAAAACACGUAAACACGUAAAUCCAAAAUGCGUAUACAUUCAUUUUCUAAUCACAAAGAAAAUAUGCAACAUCUAUUUUAAUAUGUAUAUGUUGUCUCAAAGCAAAAUGUAUCAUGACUUCAUUUUCUGAUCGUAAAUGAAAACAGUCAAUAUUUCUUUCGGUAUAUACAUGGUAUCUUAAAUCAAAAUGUAUCCUCAUGGCACCGUACAUUUAUUAAUCAAAAUUUACAACACUCAGCAUCGACUACGGAAUAUAUAUCGCAAAAUAUUUCAUUUCCUAAGCAGAAAUUAAAUACUCAAUAUCGCCUCUUUCGGGAUAUAUUUCGCAUAUGAAAUACAACAUACCUUCUCUAAAUAUUCAUUUUCCAGUCAUGUUUUAAAUCAUUCAACAUUUCUUUUGAAAUGUAUAUGAACUCUUAAAUCCAAACUAUCAAAACAUAAACGCUCAUUUUGUAAUCAUAAACUGAAAUAUGCAAGUCUUUCAGAAUCUAUAUAGGGAAUAAAAUACAAACGUAUCACCUCAUCAUUAUUAAGUGACAAAUCAUAAAUUUGAACUUACAAGAUCACUUUUAUAAUGCAUUUGUAAUUUCAUAAAUAACAAUGGAAAUAUUUUCUAAUAAAAGAUUUAAAUCGCAACGUCGAUUUUGAAAUAUCUGUGAUUUAUCCACCCUAAAGCAUCAAUAGUUUAAUCAGAAAUCCAAACAUUCAUCAUCUCUAUCAGAAUAUAUAUGGAAUCAAAAAUACUAAAUAUCUUCGUAUAAACAUUCAUUUUCUAAAUCUUAACAGCACUUUGGAAAUAUACAUGGAACCUUAAAUACAAAAUAAGAUAAACUUUCAUUUUGUCAGCAUAAAUAUAAACAUUUAAUCUCCCUAUUUAUGAAAUCUUAAAUAGAAAAGUAUCAAGAUAUUGACAUGCAUUUCUUAAUCACAAAUGAAAAGAACCAACAUCUGUUCUAGAAUGUAUAUGAAACCUGAAAGCAAAAUGUAUCAACAUAUAGUUAUUCAGUUUCUAAACUUAAAAUAAAUCACUCAACAUAAUUUCUGUUUAUAUUUGAAAUCUUAAAUAAAAAGUAAUCAUCACAUUGGCUUUUAUUUCCAAAUCUGAAAUUAAAUAACAGAAGACCUGUUAUAUGGAAUUUAAAAUCCAAAUUCAGUAAUCUUCGGAUCAUAAAUUAAAACAUUCUACAUCUCUUUAGGAAUAUAUACGGAAUUUUAAGUGGAAAUGUAUCACCAUAACAACGUAUCGUUUUCGGAAAAUAUAUGCGUCUGAAGUAUAAAGGUAUCACCACAGAACAUUAAUUUUCUUAUCUAAUAUUAAAACAUUGAACGUCCAUAUAUAUGAAAUCUUAAAUCCGAGGAUAGCAUCACACUAUCAUCCAUUUCCUAAUUGCAUAAGAAUUUAUACAACAUCGAUUUCAGAAUAUGUAUGGUACAAAUAGAUUAAGUAUCAGCCUUAAAAGGAAAUAAGUUCUGGGGUCGAUUCGUUCGACUAAAAGUAUUCAAGCUGUUGCUCCAGCGUGACUGCAAUGUAAUGACUGAAAAGAGUUAAAGAUAAAAGAUAAAGACCUCUAUCGGUAUAAAUAUGGUGUAUGAAAUUUUACGGUAUUAUCACAAAACGUUGCUUUUUACUUAUAAAUUAAAGCGUUCAGCAUCUCUUUCGAAAUGCAUAUGGAAUAUUAGAUUCAAAAGUAAGAACGAUUAAAUAUAAAUUUUCUAAACAUAAAUUUUUACACUCAACAUCUCGGUCAAUAUUUAUAUGGAAUUGUAAACAGAAAUUGUAGUAUCUCUUUUCACAUCAUAAAUGAAAACACUACAUAAUUUUCGAAGUAUAUUUAAAUCUAAGAUAAAAAAUAUCAACAUAUUAACAUUCAUAUUAUAACCAUAAUUAAAACUCUCCAGCAUUUCUUUUAGAAUAUAUAUAUAUAGGGUCUGAAAUCAGAAUGUACAACAACAUAGUUAUUCCUUUUGUAAUCGUUUUAUGCAUUUACUUUCAAAUCCUAAAUCUGACUAUGCAGCAUCUUUUUCGAAAUAUAUGGUAUGAUCACAAAAUCAUUCACUUUCUAAUCAUAAAUUAAAAUACUCAACUCUACUUUGGACCACAUAUGAAGUAUGAAACGCGAAUGCAUAACCACAUACUUUCUGAUAAUUAUAUACAACUCUUAAUAUACCUUGCCGAUUAUAUUUGGUAUUGUAAAUAAUAUGUAUCCUCAAAUAGGCAUUUAUUAUCUAAUAAUAAAUUAUAAUAAUCAACAAUUGUCUGGUAAUAUAUAUGGAAUAUUAAACCCAAAUGCAUGAUCAUAAACAUUUUAUUUACUGAUCAAGAGUUUAAACACCAUUAUCGUUUUGGAAUAUAUAUGGAAUCUUAAGAACAAAGGUUUCAUAAAAAAAUCAUUUUCAAGCUAUUUAUAAAUGAAAACUCAGCAUCUUGGUCAGAAUAUAUAUAUAUGGAAUCAUAAAUACCAAAUAUUCUCACAUGAACAAUCAUUUUCUCUCCAUAAAUUCCAACACCUCUUUCUAAAGAUAUGUGAAGUGUUUAAUAAAAAAUAUCAAUACAUAAACAAUAAUUUUCUGAUAAAAUAUACAAUUUCUACAUCUCUUUCGGAAUAUUAUAUGGCAUCCGAAUUCAGCAUGAAUCAUACCAUAGUUUUUCCUUAUCAAAUCAUUAAUGACAAUAUGCAGCAUAUAUUUUGAAAUAUAUUUAGAAUCACAUAUGAGGAGGAAUUAUCAGAUGAACAUUUAUUUUCAAAUUGAGGAGCCUUUCUCUGGUCGUUUGAUUUCUUCCUUUGCCUUCUGGUGGCGUCAAAAUAUUGGUUCCAAUGGUGAUGGAAUAUCACCAGUUGGUACGCUCUCGGAUUUGUGUUUCAAACGAUUUAGGCUCAAAUCCAGUUGCGUUCGGUGUUAUUUUGGUUGGUCCUAGUAUCUUUGAAGUAAGCUCGCUGAAUAAAACUUGACGCGGGAACAUCGCCUCUUCCAUUUUUGCUACAUGUUCUGACCAUCUAAAGACAAUGUUUCAUGAUCAGCGAUUCAUUGCCUUGACUGUUAGCUCUUUCCAGGACAUUGUUGUUGGUUACAUGGUGUUCCCAUUUGAUGUCCAAGAUUGAUCGAAGCUUUUGCUGAUGAAAGCGUUCUAAUUUCAGAGUCCAAAAUUUGCUGCCAUAGAGUAAGGUUGAAAUGACAACAGCAUUAUAAACCAUACUUUUUGUUGCUAUUUUCAGACGUUAGUUGUUGAAGACUCGUUUGAGUUAAAACUCACUACAACUCAUUCGGAAUAAGUAUCGAAAUUUAAAUCCAAACGUGUCAUCGCAAAAAGUUCAUUUCUUAAUCAUAAAUUAAAACACUGAACAUCUUCGUCGGAAUAUAUAUGGAUUUUGAAAUAUCAUCAUAUAAACAUUCAUUUUCUAUAAUAAAAUAAGAAACUCAACAUCUGUUUCGAAAUAUGUGUAAUCCAAAAUCCAAAAUCCAAAGGCACUACAAAAUCCUUUCAUCUUUCUCAUCACAAAUUAAAAUACUUAACAUCCCAGCUUUUUAUCAAACAAAUGAACCUCAGAAAAUGGUGAGAAACACAUAAUUGAAAUUGCACACGGGCCAUUUCGAAAGCUAAUCAAACGCGACUUCAACAGCAAAAAUCUAUACUUAGCAACAACAAUUAUGCUCUAUAAUGCUGUCAUUUCAACCUUUCUAUAUGGCAGCGAAUCCUGGACGCUAUUUCGACGCGACAUCCAAAAAUUAGAACGCUUUCACCAGCUGGACUGAGCUAACAGUCAAGGCAAUGAAUCGCUGACCAUGAAACUCUGUCUUUGAUGAUCAGGACAUGUAGUAAAAAUGGAAGAGGCAAUGUUCCCACGUAAAGACUUAUGAAGCGAGCUUACUUCAGGGAAAAGACCAGAGGUGGUCCUCUUUGAAAGUACUAGGACCAACUCAAAAUAACACCUGUAGCUGCUGAAUUUCAACCUAAAUAGUUUGAAACACAAACCCGUGAGCGUACCAACUGGUGGUAUUUCAUCACCAUCGGAACCAAAUAAUUUGAAGCCACCAGAAGAGAAAGGAAGAAAUUAAAUCCUUGGAUAUUAAAUUCUUGUGUGUGUAUAUACAUACAUACAUACAUACAUACAUAUAUAUAUAUAUAUAGGCAUAGGAGUAGCUGUGUGGUAAGUAGCUUGCUUACCAACCAUAUGGUUCCGGGUUCAGUCCCACUGCGUGGCACCUUGAGCAAAUGUCUUCUACUAUAGCCUCGGGCCGACCAAAGCCUUGUGAGUGGAUCUGGCAGACGGAAACUAAAAGAAGCCCGUCGUAUAUAUGUAUAUAUACAUAUAUAUGUAUGUGUUUGUGUGUCUGUGUUUGUCCCCCCAACAUCGCUUGACAACCGAUGCUGGUGUGUUUCCGUCCCCGUCACCUAGCAGUUCGGCAAGAGAGACCGAUAGAAUAAGUACUAGGCUUACAAAGAAUAAGUUCUGGGGUCGAUUUACUCGACUAAAGGCGGUGCUCAAGCAUGGCCACAGUCAAAUGACUGAAACAAAUAAAAGAGUAAAAGUAUAUAUAUAUAUAUAUAUAUAUAUAUAUAUAUAUAUAUAUAUAUAUAUAUAUAUAUAUAUAUAUAUAUAUAUAUAUUAUUGGAAAUUAAAUUCUUGUGUGUGUGUAUCGGUGUGUGUGUUUAUGUAUAUACAUAUACAUAUUGGGCUAAAUUUGACAGCUUGCGAAAAGAAAAUUCAAUAUCCCAUCCCAAAAUAAAGGUAUUUUAAAACAAAAAAAAAUCAACUAGAUUAUGACUAGGAGAUAACUAUUUACUCCCUCAGCUUCCACCAGGGCCUCAAGACCGCUCCAGAAAUUGAGGCUGGUGAAAUCGAAGUAAUUCUCCAACAACCACUUCUGACUUCUUCUGUAAGUAUGACAAUAAUUCGAAUCCUGCGACCACACACAUAUAGCAUUCCUGCAGCAAUCCUCUUCAAUCAGGGUUGGAGAGGAUUGCUGGAGGAAUAAUAAUUGAAGAAUGAAUGUAAAUUUGAAAAACUGAAGAAGUAUGGUGUUGACACAAAAGGACUGAAUGUUGUGAUUGAAGAGCUGAAGCAGAACAUACUUACCAAGAAAGCAAAACUAACGAGGUUUGAGCGACGGAAUAAUCAACAGCGGGAAAACCGACCGUUUAGAAUCGACCAAAAAAUAACUUAUCAAAGAAAUUAAUGAUGAUUUAGCAUGCAAAAGAUUAAUUCCUGAUGCAAAUGAAAGUUAACAGUUUUGGGGUGGAAUAUGGUGUAAACAAGAACUGCCCAAUGCUGGCUCUGCAGUCUGAAGCGAACAAUGUUCAGCAGCUUCUCAUAGCUGUUUGAAUCGUGCUUAAGUCCCUGUUCAAAGAUGUUGGGUGGCAUAAAGUCACCCUUACUGGUGUCUCCAUCGCAGCUGUUCUUGUCAUGUCUAUACAGACUUUACAGUGUUCACAGAGUAUUGAGCAGCAGUCAUGAUGUUGAUAUUUUGAUACCCGGCUCGAAUCAUCAUGAUACAUGUAACUCUUUUCUAAUAUUCAGAUGGCCCCCAGUCCACUCCAUGACAGCUAACUUUUUUCAACUACAACUUUAAUAUUAAUCUUUCCAACGCCACUGAUUGUUCUCUAAUACAUCAAAGCAGUUCUGGAAAAUAACUAGACAUAAAACAGCGUCAAAUUUAAUCCAAACAACCUGUAUACAUACAUACAUACAUACAUACAUACAUACAUACAUACAAGCAUACAUACAUACAUACAUACAUACAUACAUAUAUACAUACUUACAUACAUACAUACAUAUGUAAAUACAUAUAUAAUGUGUGUGUGUGCGUGUAUGUCUGUGUGUAUGGGUGUGUGUGCAUUUUGUAUAUGCGCUUAAAAAUAGGUAGAUAUAAUAUUUGAUCACCAGUCCAUAAGUUUCGAUAUAAAAUUCUGCGUCAGCAUUUGGUUGUGUUUAAUGACUGGAUAUUUCAUUCGAAGUCUUUGAGUUCAGUUAGUAAAUUAUAUAUUUAAAACUUCGUUCACCGAGGAGACAACAACCUGGUUAUAGCAACACUUCCCUCUUUAUAUUUGUUUUAUAUUUUAACGGAUUUUCUAUGCUAUCUCUUCUUUCGUUUAAACAUAGUCGUAUUUUUAGAAUACUUUAAAAUUUUAUUUCUUUUUAGAGAAAAUUGCAAGAUGAUGAUGUAAAGUGUGAAUAAAUUAAUUAAAUCCAUAAUGUUGCCAUAUUCUGAUUUUGUUCAUUAAUACAAGCUAAACUAAAAUAGAGAUUUUUCACAAAGAUAAAACAAAUAACAUGUUUCUACGCACCAGCUUCCGUCCCUCUCCCCCUCUCUGUCAAUCUUUCUUCGUCCUAAUGAAAAAUGUUUGAUAAACACAACAAUGUUUAACAAAAAUAAAGUUCAGUCAUUAAACAACUAAUUUACUGGACAAAAACGGAAAUUACGUGAAACAAAGAAACUGUGUAAUAUCAAUCUCAGAAUAUACAAGCAACUAUUUCAAUUAGGAACAGUUUAAGCUCCACCAAAAUAGUAUAAAAUGUGGCCUAGGGGAUUAGAAGCUGGAAUCUUCUGUUAUAGAAACGAAACGAUUUCUAUCCUUCGUUCAUCUGCCAAUUGUCUGUAAUUGAGAGGAUCUAGUCAAAGCAAGAAAAUAAAAUAAAGAACAAACAGUUGGACAAAAGAUAUACAUAUAAAAAAAAUCAAAAGAAUUGCACGUUACUGUUCGUCGGCGUUAUAUUGCAAGAAUAGAGAUUUUUUAUUCCAUUAACCACAAAAUAAUGAAAGAAUGAAGGAAGAAAUAGAAUAGUGCAUUGGUUUAACAAAAGGAAAGUAUGACUCUAUCAAGAAAAAAGUAAAAAGAAGUAAAAAAAAUGCUUGCUUUACAGUAAAAUCCCAAAUCAGAUUUCUUACUAAGGAUAUGGAUUAUCUAAGACUAGAACAAUUUUAAAGAAAAUUAUAUUUUCAUCUCGAGAUAUACAGCUGAGAAAAAGUAUCUGGAAUAAUGUUGUACAUGUGCAACAAAAAAUUGUUAACUACUAACUUUUCAAAAGAAAGGAAUAACAGCAAGAAAAACAAUAAUAAUAAUAAUAUUUGAAAAAUGAUCGUAAAUUUGAAAAAUUGAAGAAAAAUGGUGUUGAUACAAAAGGACUGAAUGUUGUGAUUGAAGAGCUGAAGUAGCGCAUACUUGCCAAGAAAGCAAAACUAACGAGGUUUGAGCAACGGAUUAAUCAAUAGCAGCAAAACCGAUUGUUUAGAAUCGACAAAAAUGAAUCUACCAAGAAAUUAAUGAUGAUUUAGCACGCGAAAGAUUAAUUUCUGAUGCAAAACAAAAUUGACAGUUUUGGGGUAAGCACGAACAACACAAUACUGGGGCUGGAUGACUCUGCAGUCUGAAGCGAACAGCUUAUCCCCAACAAGAAGAUAUCCUUUUUACCGAGGACAGUAAUAUGAACAAAAAGAUGAGCAGAAAUGUUAGCAAAAAGAAAGCAAAAGGACCUGUUGGUGUACAGGGAUUUUGGACAAAAACGUUUAGCAGGUGUCAUAACUUGAUUGCAGAUCAAUUUAAUGUAUUAUUUGACGGAGCAGAAGGAAUUCCAGAAUGGUUAACAAAAAACGAUCGGUGUCGUCUUUGAAGGAUGUAUCGAAGAAAAUUUUGCCGACAAAUUUCUUACCUUCCAAUAAUGUAUUUUUUAAUGAGCGUGCUUUAUUCAUUCGGUGUUGGGUUGAAGUGUUUCCGGUGCAUUGAUAGAAGGACAAUAUAGUAUUUCGGAUUUAUGUCUGCGGGGAAUUGAUGUAUGUGGGGCAUUGUUCUCUGCGGGACUUUGAUGUCUUCAGGAUAUACAAACUGCAACUAAAUUUCCUGUAAAGAGAAAGCGCAAUUUUUCCACGAAAAACAACCAGAGACAACAGAUAUAAUUCGAAAAUUUUAAGUAACAGGCUCCCCCAAGGAUUCGAAACCCCAACUCCAAAUAAUUAUAACACCACACUCAUUCUGAAACCAAUGAAAUUUUUCCUCUGGUUAUAACCGGACACUCUGGAAAAAAAAAACAGAGACUUCUUAAGGGAACUAACCAACCGGAACGCUAGAUGACCAUCAGGCAAAAACUAGGAAGUCAACAAAGCAGAACGCCGAGCUUUACGAAAAUGAAAAUAUUUUUUCCAAAACAAAAUAUUUUUGAUCAAAAUAAAGUGACGUCACGAAGCCUACAACCAAUCAGAACGUGUUCUUUGGCCGUGGUCGUUACCAGGAAGUCAACCAACCAAAGCACUAAACUUUGCUAAAACAAAAAUACUUUGACCAAAACAUCCACGAGAAAUGAAUAAGACGUCAUUAAAAUUGUAACCAAUCAAAAAUUAGAUUGUUUGCCGUAAAAACGUAUAUAUACUAAAAGGUUGAACCCGAAGUACUUCCAGUUCCAUCAAACUGUGAAAGGUAAAGAGACCAGUGCACUGAAGCUGAAGUUGAAAACAAGAACUACACCAACCACUACAGAAAUAGUAAAAGAACUUUUCUUUUUUCUUUCUCUCCAUCUUUUUCUCUUUCUCUUUCAUUUAUUUUAUAAAAACUCAAUAUGAUUGAACUUUCAAUAUGGUACAUUUGUUAUGGUCUUCGCCGAACAUUUACAUUGAUAGUGCUAUUUAUCCCUGUGAAAGUCAUCGAAAUUUCUGUGAAUAUUUGAACGCUUAAUGGUUUAAACAUGUUAGUCCAAUUUUUACCUUGUGAUUUCAAACUCUCCCACCCCACUUUCAUUCUUUAUAUAUUUGUGCCGUUGAUAAGCAAAAAAUUGGCGAAGCUAGUUUGGUAUGUGAAUUGAAAACGACUACACGUUUUACCGAUUCAGGUGCAUUUUCAAACCCCCAAACAAAUUCUCAUAUAUCUAUACAAAGGCGCAGGCAUGGCUGUAUGAUAACAAGCUUGCUUCCCAACCACACGGUGCUAGGUUCAGUCUUAAUGUGUGACAUCUUUGGUACGUGUCUUCUAUGUCCUCGGGCCGACCAAAACCUUGUGAGUGGAUUUGGUAAACGGAAACUGUAAGAAGCCCGUCGAACACACACACACAUAUCUACGUGUGUGUCUUCGUGUCUGUGUAUAUACAUACAUGUAUAUAUAUAUAUAUAUAUAUAUAUAUAUAUAUAUAUAUAUAUAUAUAUAUACUAGCAGAGACACCCGGCGUUGCUCGGGAUUAAAAUGGCAUAGUUUGUAUUUAAUAUAUUACAGUUAUGUUGAAACAGGUAAUAUAGUAAAAGUGCAGCAUUAACAAAAAAGCAUUUGUGGAGUAAAUUAUGGGCUAAUUCGACUAAGUAACUUACUAUGCGUCUGUUUGGAGUAUUUCAGGCCCUAACCUGUGGGGGUUAUGUGAUGUUUGAACGCACCGAGAAGAUGUCAGUAGAUAUAUUCUCUUUUGCAGCAGUCGGCGCUGUGUCUAACACGACUUAUCAUCUGAAAUGUCGACACCUCCUUCGGGUUUGGUGUCCUACAUCACUCAUAAAGUAAAUUUGGAGGAACUGUGGUUGUUCAUUUAUGGGUAACAGGGAACCAAUGAGGUGAUAGACUUGCCCUUGAACUUUGACGUCGUCGUAAAUUCAUGUUUAUCUAUCUUCUUAGAUGCACCAAAUGAUGUCAUUUGCAGAAUUGAAUUGUCUGAUAUUGUUCAGAAAAUCCUUUGACUGGAUGGAUAUGCCUUCUAGAAGAUCCAUAAGAGGUUGAGAAGGUGCUGAUAGCGGUGGCAAUGUUACCUGACCGCCUGAGCAGCACAUACCAUUUGUUUCAUUUGAAAAUUUUAAAGCUCUUCAGAAAAGAAAAUUUGUGUUUAGCGCACCAAUUUGGACAGAGUUAUUAUUUUUAUAAGAAUAGGAUGGAUCAUAUCUGAAAACAGCUUCAGAAGUUGUGAAGAACGAAUUUGUAAGUAGUCUGUUUGUGAGAGCUAUUCUAUUGGACCUCUAAUCAUUAAAACAUUGAUUUAAUGAUCCAGCAUUAAGUAUUGCCACAUGCGUUUCCUGAUGUUGAGAAAAUCUCAUCUAGCUUCUAUCUUCAGACUCUCGCCUUCGGUUUUCUACAAUCCUCCUUGCUUUGUACUUGUAUCUGGAGUGAUUACGUCUUUUCUUUGGUGGCAUAUUUUUCUCAAUAUUGUAAACAAAAAGUUAUGAACAUAGAAAGAAAUUCCAUAUUAAUCCCUAUUUUUGUAAGUAGUUGUAUCCGUAAAAGUUUAUUUCAAGAGAGCAGAAAUUGAAGGAUAAACCGAAAAGAAUAGAGAAAGAAAGUGAAAGACCUAUGCACGUCUAUAUGAAAGGGACGUGUGUGUGUGUAUCUGUGUGUGUGCGUGCGUGAGAAUGUGCGUGCUUUCGCAUGUGUAUGUGAGAGACAGAGGGUGAGAAAUAUAGAUAGAGUGAAUGAAGGUGUGUGUCGUCCACUCACAUACUCUACUGAUAAUAAUUUGUAAUUAUCCCAAUUCUUUACUGCAAAGACAACUACUAAAUAAUUUACGUCUACAUGACAUUGAUUAUAUCCCAUCAAUAAGAUGAACCCUAGAAUAUAACUGAUACCUAAAAUAACAUAACUCAGUCUGGGAAAGAGUGUAAUAAACGAAUAUUCGAAGUUGUUUUCACAGGUUUCCCCUUAGGUUAGUUUAAAAUAUUUCAACCUCUGCGAAUGGAUGUCUACAAAUGAAUAUAUAUGUAUAUUAUCAUACACAUACACAUACAUAUAUCUCAAUAUAAAUAACCGAGUGUAAACAUAUGUAUAUAUACAAACACACGCAUAUAUAUAUAUAUAUAUAUAUAUAUAUAUAUAUAUAUAUAUAUAUAUAUAUAUAUAUAUAUAUAUAUAUAUAUAUAUAUAUAUAUAUAUAUAUGUAUGUAUGUAUGUAUGUAUGUAUAUGUAUUUGUAUAUUUAUAUGUAUUUAAACACACACACACACACACACACACACACACACAUAUAUAUAUAUAUAAAUAUAUGUAUGUAUAUAUAUGCGUGUGUGUGAGUUUGUGUAUAUGGGUAUGUAUGUGUGUAAUCCUUCUUCCUUCUGCUGCUCUUCCAAAUUUCCUCUACUUUUCAUCAUCCAACAUAAAACGUCUAAAACAAAAUGUACAUAAAAUAUUUACAAAACAUAUACAUAUACAUACAUACAUAUAUAUAUGCAUAUAUACAUACUUAUAUGUAUAUAUAUGUAUAUAUAUAUGCAUAUAUACAUAUAUAUGCAUAUAUACAUACAUAUAUGUAUAUAUAUGUAUAUAUAUACAUAUAUAUAUAUAUAUAUAUAUAUGUAUGUAUGUAUGUAUGUAUGUAUGUAUGUAUGUAUAUGUGUGUGUGUGUGUGUGUGUGUGUUUGUAUAUUGUCUACUUUUCCUGUUAUUUUUUCUCCCCUUCCAGCAUCAUGUCUUCCACUCCAUUCCCUCCACAAUCACUUCCCCGCUCGUUGUUUACAUCAUUCCUCCACGACAUUGCUUUCUUUUCUUCCUUCUUUCGAUUCUUUAGUUUCUUUUUGUUACUUUUUUAUACCGCUCUAUUCCAGAAAACUCUCCAAUGAAAUAUAUACAGUCCUGGAAAAUAAGGAGACCGAAAUCUUUCGUCUAAAUUUUUCCGUUGUAUUGUUGUUCUCUCGUAGAAGACAUUGCUAUAAUGGAAUCUCGCCUUAGCACGCACACUCAGUCUGUUGAUCGUCUCUUAGAGAACCGCUUACAAUUGAAUUAUCUCAUUCUUUCGUUCGUUCUUUUUUUUUCUUUGCUUUCUUUCAUUCUUUAAUUUUGUAUCUCUCCCCCAUCUCUGUCAUUCGUCUUUAUACUUGUCUUGGUUUAUUUUUGCAAAUCUUUUACACUGUUUUUCUAGUUUUACGAUUUCUUUCUUUCUUUUUUCUUUCUUUCUUUCUUUCUUUCUUUCUUUCUUUCUUCCUAUUUUCCGUUUUUUUUAAUUGCGUUUCUUUUCCUAUAUUAGUAUUUCUUUUGUUUCAAAGAAAUUUCUUUAAUUUUUCAUUCAUUCAUUCAUUCAUUGGUUUAUUCAUCCAUUUAAAAAUUUUCUUUAUUUCUUCUUUUCUUGCAGUCUCUCUCUCUCUCUCUCUCUCUCUCUCUCUCUCUCUCUCUCUCUCUCUCUCUCUCUCACUCUCACUCUUGUCUCUAUAUAUUCUUGCCUACCGCUUUUCAUUAAUUUCUUCUUCGCUCUUUCUUGUCUGUGUUUCUCUUCCUUCCCUUCCUUCUUUCUUUUUCCUUCCUUCCUUUUUCUUUCUUUCUUCUUACCGUCAUCAAUAUUUGUCAUCUUUUGUGUGUUUCCUUCAUUUUUCUUUCAAUUUGCCUUUUUGUGUUUUUUCUCUUUAUUGCCAUUUCUUAGGGCGACGUGCUGGCAGAACGUUUAGCGGCAUUUCGUCCGUUGUUACUUUCUGAGUUCAAAUACCGCCGAGGUCGAUUUUAUACUUUCAGGGUCGAUAAAAUAAAUACCAGUCGAGUACUGGUGAUCGAUUUGAUCGACUUAAUCCCUACUCCAAAGUUGCUGUCCUUGAACCGUAAUUUGAAACCAAUAUUACAAUUUCUAUUUUUUCCUAAUAAAUUUCUUCCUUCUCAACAUUUUUCAUUCAUUCUUUCAUUUCUUUCUUUAUUUCUUCUCUAGAUGUUCUCUUUAGCUCUUGCUAUCUCUAUAUAUCUUUUACAUUCCAAUUUUCACUCUUCCUUUGUAUUCUUUCCUAACUCUCUCCUCAAUUUUCCUUCCCUUCUUUUCUUUUCCCUAAGUUCGGUUUUCUUCUGUCCUUUCGCCUUUACAUCGUCAUCAGUUGUUGACCUUUCUUUCCUUCUUUCUUUCUUUCUUUCGUUUUUUCGUUUUUGUUCCUUUGUUUUUGCGUGUUCAUUUCUUUCCUUCUUUCUUUCUUUCUUUCGUUCUUUCUUUCUUUCUUUCUUUCUUUCUUUCUACUUUCUUUCUGUUUCUUUCUUUGUUUUUUUUUCUGUUUGUAUAUAAGUAGUUCAUUACAUUUAAACAAAACUAUUAAUUUUUAGUUUUUCCUUCAUUCAGUCAUUCUUUUUAUGUUUUCAUUCAGUCUUUCUUUCAUUUUCUCUCUCCUCUUGAUGCUCUCUUUCUCUCUUGCUGCCACUUGUUUCACAUUCUCCUUUCUCUUUUUCCUUUGUUUUCUUCAAGUUUUCUUUCCCAGCAUCCUCCCAUCUGUUUUUCUUCUUUCUUCCCUUUCCUCUCUCCUUCCUUCCUUCGUUUCCUUCGUUCCUUUCACCUUCUCAAUUCCAGUCAGUUGUCCUUUCCUUCCUUCUUUCCUUCCUUCCUUCCUUUCUUCUUUCAUAACAAUAAUUGUAUAUGAUACUAGCUGCCCUAAUACAAUCAUAUUACCCAUAAUGCUACAUAACUCUACUUGACGUAAUUACGUAAUACAACGAUAUACAUCCUAAUUCAAUAAUAACUACUACACCAUUCAACUUGGUUUCCAGAAUUGGGAAGUCGGAUCUUUGCAAGUCAACACAAUCUCCUUCGUCUUUACUUUGACAAAAAUAAUUUCUUUCCACUAACAAAGGACACUUUUUGUGAAGAGAAAUAUGCCAGGCAAUUUAGACUCAAUCAAACUAUAUUUUUCUUCUAUAUCUUUUAUCGAUUAACUAGAAAUGAAAGAAACCGUCUAAGCAAGCUUUGCGAUUUAUAUACGCAAGGGACCAACUUAGAGAGUGAUAUCUUUUUCUAAGUUAAUGUUGAUGUUUAUAAAUAAAAGGAAACAUACAGAAGAAGCGAUUCGUAAAUUUUGCUUUAGUUAUCUGUUACGUAUUUUCUUUAAAAUCAUAAAAAAGUUUUUCAAUCACAAAAUCUUUAAAACCUUCUUGAAAAUUUAAAAAAUAAAUAUUUCAAGCAUUUUAAUUAACAAAUCUUGUAACUUUUAUCGUUAAGUCUUUAAAAAUUUAACUUUAAAUUUUAACUCUCGUAAACCUUCCAAAUUUGAAGUUUAAGAUCUUUAAAACCUCUUAUCAAAAAUCUUUAAACCUUCCGUUUAUAAAAAUUUUAAAUCUUGAAAUUUUGAAAUCUUUUAAAUAUUUAAAAUACUUUUAAAGAUUUGAAAUCUUAAGAUAGCGGAAAUAAAAAAUUUUUUCCUGUUAAAAGCAGCCAAAAGGAAGUUGAAGAUGUGAUACACUAUAACCUUCUAUAAGCUUCAUUCAGCGCAAUAAUACAUACAUACAUACAUACAUACAUACAUACAUACAUACAUACAUACAUAUAUAUAUACAUACAAACGCUUACAUAUAUAUAUAUAUAUAUAUAUAUAUAUAUAUAUAUAUAUAUAUAUAUAUAUGUAUGUAGAUAUAUAUAUAUAUAUAUAUAUAUAUAUAUAUAUAUAUAUAUAUAUAUAUAUAUAUAUAUAUAUAUAUAUAUAUAUAGACGGACUUAGAGAGACAUACCUGUGUAUGUAUACGUGUAUAUAUUGCAACACAUAUAGUUCUGCAUAGCAUGUAUAAUUGCACAUAUGUGUUGAUAUAUAUAUAUAUAAAGUCAUUCAUACAAACAUUUAAAAUAUAUUACAUGAAUUUAUACAUGGUAUAAUAUACAGAUAUAUGCAUAUAUGUAUGUAUUAUUUAUAUCUAUAUAUACCUUUAUAUAUACAUACACAUAUAUAAACGCAAUAUAUAUGCAUAUAUAUGCAUACAUACAUAGACAUAUAUGUGUAUAUGUAUAUAUAUACAUAUGCAUGUAUAUAUAUAUAUGUCUAUAUAUAUAUAUAUAUAUAUAUAUAUAUAUGUAUAUAUAUAUAUAUAUAUAUAUAUAUAUAUAUAUAUAUAUAUAUAUAUAUAUAUAUAUAUAUAUAUACGUAAACUGCUUUAGCAUUAAUGGUUUGUGUCUAAGUUCUACUUCAUAUAAAUAUAUAAGUGUAUGUUUUUUUCUCCCUUUCUUAUUUCUAGGUAUUUAUAUGUAAGAGGCUUUUGUUAUGUGUGUAUGUGAAUGUGUGCGAAGGUGUGUGUAAGACCUCUGUGCAUAAGUGUAUGUCUGGGAUGUGUGUGUAUGUCUGUGAUGUGUGUAAAUGUCUGUGACGUGUGUGUAUGUCUGUGUGCUAGCUAUGCGGAGAAGUGUUGGCAAUCCAAAGGGAGAUAUUUUUCUAUUCAAAAAUCUUCUCUGCUUGUGCCGCUGCUUCCGUUAAGCACUUUGCCACAGACACACCUAUACACGGAUUACACACACACACACACACGCCCACACACACGUACAUACACAUACACACGCAUACACAAACCACAUCGCGCGCAUAUCCAUAUAUAUGUAUACAUGUAUACAUUUACAUAUAAAUGUCUAUACAUAUAUACAUAUAUAUAUAUACACACGUACAUACAUAUACAUACAUAUAUAUAUAAAUAUAUAUAUAUUUGUCUGUAUGUAUGUAUAUCUAUGUGUCUCUCUCACUCUCUGUCUCUCACUAUAUAUAUGCAUACGUGUUGGUGUGUGUGUGUGUGUGUGUGUGUAUAAAUAUAUAUAUAUAUAUAUAUAUAUAUAUAUAUAUAUAUAUAUAUGUAGCCAUGUAUGUAUAUAUGUAUGCAUGUAUGUAAGUACGUUUGCAUGUAUGUAUGUUCGCAUGUAUGUACGCUUGGUAUGAAUAUACGACUCGCAGAGAAUGGUCGACGAUCUCAGAGCAGUGUUCAGAGAAGUGUUCAGAAAUACCGAUUUAAAAAAUAAAACAUAAAAAUGACUACAAAAAGAAAAAAAAAAAAGAAGAAAUCAAAAACAAGUAAGUGAUAGCGGAAAAGUUGCAAUAUGUUUUACGGAAUGGAAAGUCAGAGACCACAGUAAUAGAAGCUCUUCAAAACUACGACAUCAUAUAAAAAAUAAAGAAAGGAAAAAAAAUGAGAUUGAAGAUAUACGUCUGUGUGUGUGUGUGUCUGUACAUCUAUACUUACGCAUGUACGUAAGUAUGUAUAAUUGGGUGCAUGUAUACAUAGUACGCACACACACACAGAUAUAUAUAUAUAUAUAUAUAUGUGUGUGUGUGUGUGUGUGUGUGUGUGUGUGUGUGUGUGUGUGUGUGUGUGUGUGUGUGUACAUUAUACAUAUCUAGAGAAAGUGCGGGAAGAAGAGAAAGAAAGGUAUAUAUAUAUAUAUAUAUAUGUGUGUGUGUGUAGAAAAAGUGGAUAGAUAAAUACAUAGAUAGCUAUAGAUAUAUCUAAAUAUAUACAUACAUCAAUUAUACAUCAAUGAUAUAAAUACAUAUAUACAAUCCUAUAUAUAUAUAUAUGAAUAUAUAUAUAUAUAUAUGCAUAUAUAUAUAUGUCCAUAUAUACAUAUGUAUAUGUGUAUAUGCCUGUGUAUAUAUGUGUGUGUGUGUGUGUAUAUGUAAUAUAUAUAUCUCUAUAUAUUGACGGAGAGAGUGAUAGAGAGAAAGUGAGAGAGAGAAAACGGGAGAGAGAUGUAAACUUUGAACGCUUUUCCAAUAUGGUGGUCGUAACAAGAAGAUUAGAACAUAUUAGGUUUCAGUAUGUGACUUCAUUGACUCACUCACAAAUUCUCACUCACGCAGCACAUAGUAAGACUGCAGCAGCAACCGCAGCAGCAGCAGUAGCACAUCCACCACCACCACCACCAUCAUCAUCAUCAUCAACAGCACUACCACCACCAACACCAACACCAUCACGAUUACAGCAGCAGUAACAUCAACAUCAAAAACCCUUCCUCUCCUAGUACCACCACUAACACCACCAAUACCUACAACAACAACAACACAACAAUCCCCAACGGCACCACCUCCUACACCCCUCCUCCAUCCUCAUCGUCGCCACACAUCCCCAUCGCCACCAUCAGCAAGAAUAACAGUGACAAUGUCAAUAUAAGUUAACUUAUAUUUUUACGUUAUUUUUUUAUUGUAAUGCUUUGGUUUAGUUUUUCUUUUUUCGCUUUGGUUCUUGUGUAUUUUCUGUUAUUGAUCUUGACACAGACACUACUACUACUACUACUACUACUACUACUACUACUACUACUACUACCACCACCGCCGCCGCCGCCACCACCACCACCACCAACACCACUGUUCGCAUUACAAGGCUUAUCUCCGUAGGCUUAAAUGUUUAUGUAUUUGUGUAUGCACGUGUGUAUGUAUACGUGUAUGUGUAUAUGUAUGUCUAUAUGUGUGUAUGUAUGACUGCAUGUAUGUAUAUGUACAUGUGCGUAUGCUUGUGUGUAUCUAUGUAUAUAUGUAUGUAUACACGUAUGUAUGCUUUUAUGUAUGUGCAUGUACACAUGUACUUACAUAUAUAUUCGUUCUUGGUUUUAUUUUCCGAAUUUCUCACCAAUGGCUAAAGAACCGGUUUCGAGCCAAGAAUCAAGAAAAAACAUUGGAAUUUAGACAUCAAGCAGGGCGAUCUUGUAUGUAUGUAUGUAUGUAUGUAUGUAUGUAUGUAUGUAUGUAUGUGUAUACAUACAUGCAUAUAUAUAAUAUUUUUAUAUAUAUUUAUGCACACACGAUGUAUAUCUGCACAUAUGCACUUAGGUGCAGAUAUGGCUAACAUUGCAUAUGUGGAUAUUGCAUGUUAAAAUUUAUGAAUGUUUUUCAUAGUUUGAUAGUGUUCUUUCUUGUUUGUGAAUCCCAGCUUCUCAAGAUUGGUAUUGACGCUUUUAGUCAUAUAACCAAGUUCUCCAAUAGCUUUUGGCAGAAAUCUAGAAUUUUAGUCCUGAUGGUGUAACUGGAGAUUUCUUAUCAGUUCGGCAUAGAUGUUUUCUUUUUUACUAACCUUUAACAUUAUGUUGACGUCAGCUGAGCAACCGAUUUCAGGUACCGUGUAUAGUUUCUUUUCCAUGUCCCAUAUCAUUAUAUCUAGUAUGUUAUGUUUGAAUUCUUCAAAGCCUGCAUCGGCUGCUGCAUUUGGUAGCUUAUCUGUAUCCCUAUGCCUGCCCCUGUAUUACAAAAGCAUACCCUACAAAAUGAGCUUAUAUCCUGGUUGUAUGAUCAGGAAGGACUACACUUUUAGUCAGCGUUGCCAUCACUUUGAAGUCUUCCAAGAAUACAGCCAUCCAUGACCUCUUGUCUGACGACCUAUUGCUGCAGAGUUGUGCAACUUAGCUAGGGGUAUAUCUUAAGUCAUCAGCUAGGGAAUACUUUCUGAGAAGCUCCUUUCCAACUCUCACGAUAUCGGUUUCACAUGUGCAGACUUGAUACGCGGUAGGACUUCGAUGUUUCAUGGUUAGUAGAUGUUGUCAAAGAGAUAUGAUGUGGGUAUUUAAAUGCUGUUUGUAGCGGUAUUAAAUCUCUACCACCUUUCUUUCGUGUUUUGAGUAAGGUGGUCAAUAUAAUAACUACAUGUUCCUUUUCGCACCAUGUAAGAAAAGGAACACGUAUAUUAUAUACAACAUAUCAGUUACAUUUUCUGUGUUCUUUUCCCUCACCCCGACAGGCACUCACAUACACAUGUAUGUAUGUAUGUAUGUAUGUAUGCACGUAUGUAUGUAUGUAUGUAUGUAUGUAUGUAUGUAUGUAUGUAUGUAUGUAUGUAUGUAUGUAUGCAUGUAUGCAUGCGCGCGCGCGCGUGUGUGUGUGUAUUCUUGGAUGGACGCCAGUGAAAUGGACAACCUAGAAAUGAACAACCUAGUACUCGAAUUUCGGACUUUCCAGAAAACGUUUUUCAUCGUAAAUCUGGUUAGGCUUCGUCAGCUAGGUGCGCCUAAGACAAAAUUAAAAAUAUCCGCUACAUCAAUCCCUGUAGACUCGGCUGAUAUGCCAAGCCAUAAACAGAACCAAGUUUUCUAUAAAAAUUAUAUUAUUACAAUAUAAUAGUAUUGUUUUCCAGCGAAAAGCAAGCGUCGUACUGUUAUCGACUGCUACUUCCAGCAAACAUUGGUAUCUCGCUGUGCCACUAUUUCCAAUAUAUAUAUAUAUAUAUAUAUAUAUAUAUAUAUGUGUGUGUGUGUGUGUGUGUUAAAGGCGGUACUCCAGCAUAACCGCAGCCAAAUGACUGAAACGUGUAAAAGAGUAAAAGAGUAUAUAUAUAUAUAUAUAUAUAUAUAUAUAUAUAUAUAUAUAUAUAUAUAUAUAUAUAUAUAUAGGGAGAGAUGCAGCACGUAUUUUCGUCAGUGAACAGGUCGCGGUCUUAAAGCGACGAAAAUAUUUUGACAAAUUAAACUUAAAUGUUGAAGUGAAUCGAACGGCUUUUGUGUGUUUCUUAAAUGGCUUACAAAUACCUUCCACGCUGCAAUUGUUUUCAGCACACGAUCUCCGAUCAAAUCACUUGCUAUGCAAGUACAUCUCCGUAAUAUAUAGGGAGAGUUUACGAAAAAUUCAAAACACGAAGACAGGUGGUGUACAAAACAAACAGAUGUAUUAGUAUAACGCUCAGGAAUAGAAAAAAGUAUUUUACGUUUCGAGCCUACGCUAUUCUACAGAAAGGGACACAGAAAAAACAAGGAGAGAAAAAAUGUGUGUUGUGGCUAACGAUCUAUCAUGGCGACUAGUGCCGGACAGAAAGGUCAAACACGAGAUGGAAAGUAGGGGAGAUAACAAGGUAAAGAUGACCCCCAACACAAAGGUGCGUGUGUGUAUAAUAGAGUAUGUUGCGUGUGAAAGAGGGCUGGUGGUCUGGACGUGUGCGUAUAUGUAUGUGUAGGUGGGAAAAUGUGGGGAUGGAUGUUGUGAUGUGAUGUGUAAUGUUGUAUGGUGUAUGGUGUGGUGUGGUGUUGUGUGAUGUUGUUGGGAGGUGGGGGAGACGAGGGUGCGGAAAGCACGGGUGGGGUGUGGGUUCGGCUGGGGGUUGGGGUUUGUGGGUAUAGGUGGGGUAUGUGGGGAGGGGUGUGGGAUAGGAUGGGGGAUGGGAAGGUGGAGUAGGGAUGUGUAGGGGUGGAUGGGUUUAUGGGGGAGAGAGGAGGAGAGAAGAGAGAAAGAAAGUAAGAGAGAAGAGAGAAAGAGAGAGUGAAAGAGUAGGCGAGAAGAGAGAAAGAGAAUAAGAGAGGAGAGAGAAAGAGAGUAAGAGAGAAGAGAGUAGGAGAGAAGAGAAGAAGAGAAUAAGAGGGAAGAGGGAAGGAGGGGAGAGAAAGAGAGAAAGAGAGUAGGAGAGAGGAGGAGAGGAGAGAGGGGAAGAGGAGAGAAGGAGAGUGGGGGCAGAGAGAAAGAGAGAAGAGAGCAAGAGAGUAAGGGAGAAGAGGGAAAGAGAGUAGGGGUGAAAAGAUGUAGGAGUGAAGAGAAGUAGGAGUCGGGGAGGAGAUUAGAUGAAGAGGGGAGGAGAGUUGAGCCCAAAUGGCGUAAAAGAGAGAGAUUAAUCCCUGUUCACGAUGCAAACGGGAGCCCGGAUGGCCUCUGUGUAAGGAAAAUCCGAACACAGACAGGUGUUGCAAAGAGUGGCCAGUGGAGCGGAAAUAGCGUGAGACUGCGGUGUCAUUGCCAAGGCGGAUGUCUCGGAGGUGUUCCGCGAAUCGGUCAGCCAAGCGGCGUCUCGUUUGUUCGAUGUACAGGGAAUGGCAGAGAGAGCAGGAGAUGCAAUAGAUUAUAUUGCUGGAGGUGCAGGGGAAGGAGUCGAUGAUGCGAUAGGGUCGAUGAUAGGUGCCGGUGAGGCGGGUGGUGUUGGAGAGGUAUGGGCAAGUGCGGCAGUGUGGGCGGGAGCAGGGGAACGAGCCAGGUUGGGAGGUAGGGUUGGGGAAGAAGCUGUGGACCAAGAGGUCUCGUAGAUUGUGGGCUCGUUUGAAGGAGGGGAGGGGUCGGUUAGGGAAGAUGUGUGAAGUGGACCGGAGAUGCCGAAAAGCUUGGAGAAUGGAGCGUUGGAGAGGUAGGGUGGUGGGGUGGUAGGUGAGGGGAAAAGGUAGGCGGGAGACUGCAGGGCGAGUUCGGGGGGGGGAGGGAGAGAGCAGAUGCACGGUCCACGGAACGUGCUCUGGCAAGGGCGGUGUGGAUAGUGGUGAGGGGAUAUCCACGUAGGAUGAAGUGGCGAGCCAUGAGUUGAGACUGAGUCUCAAAGUCAUGGUCAUAUGCACACACACACACACACACACACACACACACACACACACACACACACAUAUAUAUUCUUUCAGACAUUGGACUGUGGCCAUGCUGGAGCACGGCCUUUAGUCAAACAAAUCGACCCCAGCAGUUAUUGUUUGAAAGCCUAGAACUUAUUCCGAACCGCUAAGUUACAGGGACGUAAACACACUAACAUCGGUUGUCAAGCGAUGCUGGGAGAAUAAACACAGACACAAAUACAUAGAGAUAUAUAUAUGACGGGCUUCUUUCAGUUUCCCUCAACCAAAUCCACUCACAAGGCUUUAGUCGGCCCAUGGCUAAGUUGCCACGCAGUGAGACUGAACCCGGAAGCAAGCUUCUUAUUUUUAUUUUAUUUUUUUUAUUGCCCACAAGGGGCUAAACAAAGAGGGGACAAACAAGGCCAGACAAAGGGAUUAAGUCGAUUAGAUCGAUCCCAGUGCGUAACUGGUACUUAAUUUAUCGACCCCGAAAGGAUAAAAGGCAAAGUCGACCUCGCCGGAAUUUGAACUCGGAACAUAGACAGACGAAAUGCUGAUAAGCAUUUCGCCCGUUGUGCUUACAUUUCUGCCAGCUCGCCGCCUUCUUACCACACAACUACUCUUGCGACUAUAUAUCUAUAUCUAUAUCUAUAUCUAUAUCUAUAUAUACAAUCUUUAGAUCAGUCCAUAUAUGUUCAGGGCACAUUUGAUUUGGCCAAAGGCAUUUUUAAUGCGGUUUGCUAUGCAGAAACAUUCUCGUUUUAAGCGAGAGUUGUUAAAAACACAAAAGUCAAUCCAGAACACACACGAGAAGGAAUGAUUGAAGCAUUUCAGGCUUAGUCGAUCUCUGUUGUACCAUGUAUAAGGUACCUGGGGAAGUAACUCUAAAGUGACUGGAAGGUUUCGAUUCCUUAGAAGAAUAAGCAAAUAACGCACGACAAACCAAUAAAUAUUUCCAGAUUACACAUUGUAUGUUUGGUGUAAAACAGUGGUGUACAUCCAUCCAUCUUAUAUAUAUAUAUAUAUAUAUAUAUAUAUAUAUAUAUAUAUAUAUAUAUAUGAUAAAACGGUAAGAUAACAAAAGAAAGAAAGAGACCUCAAUAUUAUGUAAAUAGAGGAAAUUUAUCUAUACAAUAUGUUACAUUACUCGGUAGUCAAGAUAAAACUCUGAGUUUCAGAUGCCGAAGUGGAAAUCCACAACACCAUCUCUUCGGUUAUCUGGCUAACCGAAGAGAUAACCGAAGAGAUGGUGUUGUGGAUUUCCACUUCGGCAUCUGAAACUCAGAGUUUUAUCUUGACUACCGAGUAAUGUAACAUAUUGUAUAUAUAUAUAUAUAUAUAUAUAUAUAUAUAUAUGUAAAUAUAGAUCGUAUUUUUUGGGAAAAACAUGAAUCCGAAGAAGAAGCAGAGCAGUCUAUAUUUAUUACUGGUGAAGGCCGGUACAGCUGGAAGCCGAUUAUAGCCGGCUUCCGACUGUACCGGUUUUCAACAGUUAUAUAUAUAUAUAUAACUUAGAUAACUUAGAUAUGUUUCGACCAAAGAUUGGUGCAGGCCAUGUCUAACUUAAUAGCACCACCUGAUAGGAUUAUUCGAAUCCUGUUUAAGUCAAGUUUUGUUCAAGUAGUGAGUUCUUGUUGGGUGAGUUGUAUCCAAUUAUGGGUGGCUUAUCCGGUAUUCUUUGAAGGAAUCUAUCCAGACUCCGUUUAAAGUUGAUGGGAUCCUUUUCCUCUUUGAUCUCCCUCGGGACAAUGUUAAAUAGGGCAGGGCCUGUUGAGGAAAAGAAAUUAUGUUGCAGUGUACAUGUAUGUUGUGAUCUUGAAUUGGACAGGGGACGUAUGGCCCGUGGUCCUAGUCUUGGAUGAACCUUGAAGCUAAUGUUAAGGUCGUUUGG
rnacentral:lncRNA from 1 species